CCACUUCAACGGUGCCGUGCCGUAUUGUACAACACGGCGUAAUUUGCCGGAUUUGCAGAUCGAUCAGCAAGCCAUUUUCAGAGCACGGCACACGGUUUUUUCACUUCUGGCCAAUCACAGUCCAGAUAAAUUACGUCAUUGCCCACAUAUUUUCUGAUCAAGCGACAAAUCGCCUGCGGUGAUAGUCUAUGGGAGUUUACGUGUUAAAUGCAAAAUCGCACAUACACGUGUCUACGUGUAUUACCUGCUGAAGAGAGGUGACUGAAGGAGGACUUGAUCUUGCAAUUCUUGGUCUGAUAACCAACAUGGAGGAAGCCCUUAUCCUAGAAGUGUAGGAAAAUCCAUUCCUGUAUGACAAGAGAUUGGAGAUGUUCAAGGAUACAGAAGUAAAAAAAUGAUGUAUGACAUGACAUUGGGCGCCAGCUUGUAAUCUCAGGUGACGUAGCGAGUUGAGGGACAACUUCCUAAAAAACGACAGAAAUGGAGAGGAAGAGUGGUGACGGAGCUCCCUCAAAUGCAGCACGUAAAUACAAGUACAGUGAGGCAAUGGAAUUCCUACUUCCCCACAUACAUAAUCGAGACAGAACAAGUUCAAUCUUGGAUCCUGUGUUUGAUGUGGACACACCAGGAGAAGCCUGUACCAAGCAGGAAGAAACUGAGCAGGAGAAUGGUGGGUGACAUCUGUCCACAACGUGGGUCAGUCUUCCUCGUCAUCAUCCUCAGGCACGUCCGCAACAUCAGUCCAGUCUUCAAGUCCCAACUUCAAUUCAAAUCGAGGACACAAUGUUGCAGUAUUUUCAAAGCACUGAUAGUCAUGGUGACAACAUAACUGUAGAUAAAUUUUUCUCCAGCUUGUACGUCCCCCAUUUUCCCACACUGUAAAAGUUACCUCAAUGCCAGCUCCAUUGCUAUGAGGUUAAAUUUCGGUCGUCUGAACAUAACAUACUACUAUAGGAAUUAAAGUUUUUGUGUCAUCUAACUCCAAGUCGAUUCUUAUUGAUGUUAUAAACAUCUCACAAUUUAAGAAUCCAAAUAUGUUUCGUAGAUUAAAAAAAAAGUUAACGGAAAAUGCUCUAACUUGCUAUGCUCCACCGCUAAAAAGAGAGCUGAUAUCUUAUUCCCUCUGACCAUGGAGCUAAUAGCUCUAUGCUCUGACAUCACUCAAUACUCUUUCGAUUGUAACAUAAAAGAUGCAAUGUCAGACAUGCAGCAUCACCAACAAAUUAAAAGCGGUGUAUAUAUGAUUACAUCUGAAUUACUUAUGAUAAAUCCAUAUGAAAUAAAUCAUUUGCAGGAAAUCUACAACUUUAAUGACUGAUAUCGUAUUAUAAACAACGGCACCAUUAAAUGUGUUAUUCUAAUUUCCACUUGAAUUUUUCACUUUGACAUCUCCAUAGGCAGCGGAAGCGGGGACAGGUCCCCCCCUAAAUUUUUAGUUGAUAACCUUUUUUUUAUUUUUUGGCUUCCACCGCCAAUGUACAUCUCCCAUUGUUACAGUUGCAAGUCAGUCUCAAUUUGCAGAAAUUACGAUUGUGAAGGAUUAUGAUCUUCCUCUUUUGUAGAUCUGGAAAAUAUCGUCUGAGCAUGUUCACCAUUUAUUAAAAAUAUAUUUAUUUCUUAAAUUAUACUUGAAUCUAAAUUCAGGAUUUGUUCACAGAUAAGAGAAGUUGAGCAUUUUGCACAUCACAGAAAUUUGGUUCAUGCAAAUACAUGUGUUAACAUGAUCACUAGUAAUGCACUAUCAAAUAUCAACACAUGAAACCAGUUACUGUGAAAAUAAAAAUGAUGGGUACUGGACGGAACGUUUCUGGACUAAUGUUUUAUUUUGGAAACAGAGAUCUAGGAUUGUUUGAAAUAUGACAAAAUGUUAGAAACAAAAUUUCAUCUCUCGCCUUGUAUACAGAGGAUCGUGUGUUCGAAUCCCACCGCAGUCUGGCGUCCUUUGGCAAGGCGUUAAUCCACACUUUGCCACUCUCGACCCAGGUGCUAAAUGGGUACCCGGUAGGAUGUGAAAGUCAUUGUAGCUUGUCCUGUGUGCGCCUCACCGGCGACUGACUGGAAUACUCCCCAGGGAGUGGAGGAUGUGCACACAUUGUGUGCGGGAAUGACUGAUUGAAUCCGAUGACUAUGGGGUAAUAAUAUAUCUGUAAAGCGCUUAGACAUGUCGUUCCGAUGUAUUAAGCGCUAUAUAAAAAACGGAUUAUUAUUAUUAUUAUUAAACAGAAUGGCAAUGACACUCCUGUUGCCUGUUUCAUAGAGAGGUACAACUAUCAUAACUUUGUCUUUAAUAUGGCGCAACAUCCAAUUAUAAUUUAAUUGUGGUUUCCAUGGUAGUUGCCAUAAUGUUAAAGUACUUUUGAAAUGGGCCCCUGGACAUGAAGAAUACUGACAAAAGAAAGUUGAUUGUGAAAUAAAAAGAAUACAUUCAUCUUCAAGAAAUUUUUUGACGCCCCAUGCAUUUUUUGUUGUUUAUAUAUCUCGUAUUAUUUUUUUCUGUAAUAAAUUAAUGAGCAUCACUUUUUUUUCAACAACAAAUAUAAUGUAGAUUGCUGAAGAACCUAAAAUAUAUUUGGAGCUGAACUAAACUCAAAAUAAAGAUGUCGACAAAAUGAA